rnacentral:rRNA from 1 species
AAUGAACGUUGGCGGCGUGGAUUAGGCAUGCAAGUCGUGCGCGAAUCGUAGCAAUACGAGGAGAGCGGCGAAAGGGAGAGGAUAGCAUAGAUACCUACCCUCGGACCUGGGAUAGCUAUGGGAAACUAUAGGUAAUACCAGAUAAUGUCUCCGGACCAAAGGUGUGAUUCCGUCCGGGGAGGGGUCUAUGUCCUAUUAGCUUGUUGGUGAGGUAACGGCUCACCAAGGCAAAGAUGGGUACGAGGUGUGAGAGCGUGUCCUCGCUCACUGGGACUGAGACACUGCCCAGACACCUACGGGUGGCUGCAGUCGAGAAUCUUCGGCAAUGGGCGCAAGCCUGACCGAGCGACGCCGCGUGUGGGAUGAAGGCCUUCGGGUUGUAAACCACUGUCAGUGCGGAGGAAAUAUAGUGGGGUUCUCCCCAUUAUUUGACCUAUGCGCAGAGGAAGGACGGGCUAAGUUCGUGCCAGCCGCCGCAGUAA